rnacentral:rRNA from 1 species
UACGUAGGGUGCGAGCGUUAAUCGGAAUUACUGGGCGUAAAGCGUGCGUAGGCGGUUCGUUAAGUUCGUUGUGAAAGCCCCGGGCUCAACCUGGGAAUGGCAAUGGAAACUGGCGGGCUGGAGUAUGGCAGAGGGGGGUGGAAUUCCGCGUGUAGCAGUGAAAUGCGUAGAGAUGCGGAGGAACACCGAUGGCGAAGGCAGCCCCCUGGGCCAAUACUGACGCUCGGGCACGAAAGCGUGGGGAGCAAACAGG